rnacentral:rRNA from 1 species
UGGUGGAGUGAUUUGUCUGGUUAAUUCCGAUAACGAACGAGACUCUGUCCUGCUAAAUAGGCCCGACCUUUUUUCUUUUCAGCUUGUGGUAGCGUUGUUCGGUUUUGGGUUGUGGCUAAGGUUCGCCUUGUCGCGGCUCUUCUC